CACCAGAGCCACUAGUGGCAAUCGCGAUUAUUGGGCCUAAAGGGUCCGUAGCUGACUCAAUAAAUCUUUUGUGAAAUUGUUAGACUUAAUCUAACAGCGUGCAAAAGAAACUGUUGAGUUUGAGACCAGGAAGAGGCAGAAGUAUUCUGAGUGGAGUGGUAAAAUAUUAUAAUCCUCAGAAGACUACCUAUGGCGAAGGCAUCUGCCUAGAAUGGGUCUGACAGUGAGGGACGAAGGCUAGGGGAGCGAUCCGGAUUAGAUACCCGCGUA
rnacentral:rRNA from 1 species